CUGGAUGUGCCCAGCUGGCCAGCUCUGGGGCCAUCUUCCAGUACAGUGGUGGAUGGUGAAGCUUCUAACACUGUCUGGUAAAGAUGCCCUCCGGGUUGGUUCUCCCUUCGACGACUUU
rnacentral:precursor_RNA from 15 species